rnacentral:rRNA from 1 species
UACGAAGGGGGCUAGCGUUGCUCGGAAUCACUGGGCGUAAAGGGUGCGUAGGCGGGUUUUUAAGUCAGGGGUGAAAUCCUGGAGCUCAACUCCAGAACUGCCUUUGAUACUGAAGAUCUUGAGUCCGGGAGAGGUGAGUGGAACUGCGAGUAUAGAGGUGAAAUUCGUAGAUAUUCGCAAGAACACCAGUGGCGAAGGCGGCUCACUGGCCCGGUACUGACGCUGAGGCACGAAAGCGUGGGGAGCAAACAGG